CCUUACCCACCUUUGACAUGGCAGGAAUCCUAAAGAGAUUUGGGAGUGCUCGAAAGAGAACCUGCACACAGGGUGCUGCAUGGCUGUCGUCAGCUCGUGUCGUGAGAUGUUGGGUUAAGUCCCGCAACGAGCGCAACCCUUGCCAUUAGUUGCUACGAAAGGGGCACUCUAAUGGGACUGCCGGUGACAAACCGGAGGAAGGUGGGGAUGACGUCAAGUCCUCAUGGCCCUUAUGGGUAGGGCUUCACACGUCAUACAAUGGUCGGUACAGAGGGUUGCCAACCCGCGAGGGGGAGCUAAUCCCACAAAGCCGAUCGUAGUCCGGAUCGCAGUCUGCAACUCGACUGCGUGAAGUCGGAAUCGCUAGUAAUCGUGGAUCAGCAUGUCACGGUGAAUACGUUCCCGGGUCUU
rnacentral:rRNA from 1 species